GUCUGAUCCCUGCCCAUCUGUUUGAACGAAACUAUCUGCACAUCCUGAAGUUCCUCGUUCCUGCUCUGUUUGUCCUGAUGAUUAUCAUUUUAAUCAUUGUAGUUUUAAGAUACAGGAGGAAGAAAUCUAUUCAACAAGGAA